rnacentral:rRNA from 1 species
GAUGAACGCUAGCGGCAGGCUUAACACAUGCAAGUCGAGGGGUAACAGGGAAGAGCUUGCUUUUCCGCUGACGACCGGCGCACGGGUGCGUAACGCGUAUAGAACCUACCUUUUACAGGGGAAUAGCCUUUAGAAAUGAAGAUUAAUGCCCCAUAGUAUCAUUGAUUGGCAUCAAUUAGUGAUUAAACAUUUAUGGGUAAAAGAUGGCUAUGCGUUCUAUUAGCUAGUAGGUAAGGUAACGGCUUACCUAGGCGACGAUAGAUAGGGGCCCUGAGAGGGGGAUCCCCCACACUGGUACUGAGACACGGACCAG